rnacentral:rRNA from 1 species
UACGAAGGGGGCUAGCGUUGCUCGGAAUCACUGGGCGUAAAGGGUGCGUAGGCGGGUCUUUAAGUCAGGGGUGAAAUCCUGGAGCUCAACUCCAGAACUGCCCUUGAUACUGGCGGUCUCGAGUCCGGGAGAGGUGAGUGGAACUGCGAGUGUAGAGGUGAAAUUCGUAGAUAUUCGCAAGAACGCCAGUGGCGAAGGCGGCUCACUGGCCCGGUACUGACGCUGAGGUGCGAAAGCGUGGGGAGCAAACAGG